rnacentral:rRNA from 1 species
CAUGGCUCAGAUUGAACGCUGGCGGGAUGCUUUACACAUGCAAGUCGGACGGCAGCACGGACUUCGGUCUGGUGGCGAGUGGCGAACGGGUGAGUAAUGUAUCGGAACGUGCCCAGUAGCGGGGGAUAACUACGCGAAAGCGUGGCUAAUACCGCAUACGCCCUACGGGGGAAAGCGGGGGACCUUCGGGCCUCGCACUAUUGGAGCGGCCGAUAUCGGAUUAGCUAGUUGGUGGGGUAACGGCUCACCAAGGCAACGAUCCGUAGCUGGUUUGAGAGGACGACCAGCCACACUGGGACUGAGACACGGCCCAGACUCCUACGGGAGGCAGCAGUGGGGAAUUUUGGACAAUGGGGGCAACCCUGAUCCAGCCAUCCCGCGUGUGCGAUGAAGGCCUUCGGGUUGUAAAGCACUUUUGGCAGGAAAGAAACGGCGCCGGCUAAUACCUGGCGCUAAUGACGGUACCUGCAGAAUAAGCACCGGCUAACUACGUGCCAGC